rnacentral:tRNA from 1 species
GCGUCGUUGGUGUAGGGGUUAGCAUAUCAGCCUUCCAAGCUGGUGACCCGGGUUCGAGUCCCGGACGACGCA